rnacentral:rRNA from 1 species
GGUAACUCCGGGCCAGCAGCCGGGGGAAUGCGGAGGGUGGAAGCGUUAAUCGGAAUUACUGGGCGUAAAUCGGACGCAGGCGGUCUGUUAAGUCGGAUGGGAAAUCCCCGGGCUCAACCUGGGAACUGCAUUCGAAACUGGCAGGCUAGAGUCUUGUAGAGGGGGGUAGAAUUCCAGGUGUAGCGGUGAAAUGCGUAGAGAUCUGGAGGAAUACCGGUGGCGAAGGCGGCCCCCUGGACAAAGACUGACGCUCAGGUGCGAAAGCGUGGGGAGCAAACAGGAUUAGAUACCCGAGUAGUC